rnacentral:tRNA from 1 species
GUCUUUCUAGUACUAAUUAGUACACGUGACUUCCAAUCACGUAGUCUUGGUUAAACCCCAAGGAAGGACU